rnacentral:rRNA from 1 species
AUUGAACGCUGGCGGCAGGCCUAACACAUGCAAGUCGAACGAGUGGCGGACGGGUGAGUAAUGUCUGGAAAACUGCCUGAUGGAGGGGGAAAACUACUGGAAACGGUAGCUAAUAACGCAUACCAUAAGAUUGGCACAGAUGGGAUGAGCGUGUUGGUGGGGUAACGGCGCACAAAGGCGCAGAUCACUAGCUGGUCUGAGAGGCUAACCGGCCACACUGGAACUGAGACACGGUCCAGCCUCCUACGGGAGGCAGCAGUGGGGAAUAUUGCACAAUGGGCGCAAGCCUGAUGCAGCCAUGCCGCGGUUCUGAAGAAGGCCUUCGGGUUGUAAAGUACUUGCAUCGGAGAGGCGUUACCCGAAGAAGAAGCACCGGCUAACUCCGUGCCAGCAGCCGCGGUAAUUC